UACGUAGGGUGCGAGCGUUAAUCGGAAUUACUGGGCGUAAAGCGUGCGCAGGCGGUUCGUUAAGUCAGACGUGAAAGCCCCGGGCUCAACCUGGGAACUGCAUUUGAAACUGGCGGGCUUGAGUGUGGCAGAGGGGGGUGGAAUUCCGCGUGUAGCAGUGAAAUGCGUAGAGAUGCGGAGGAACACCGAUGGCGAAGGCAGCCCCCUGGGCCAACACUGACGCUCAGGCACGAAAGCGUGGGGAGCAAACAGG
rnacentral:rRNA from 1 species